rnacentral:rRNA from 1 species
GUGCCAGCCGCCGCGGUAAUACCGGCAGUCCAAGUGAUGGCCGCUGUUAUUGGGCCUAAAGCGUCCGUAGCCAGCCAGACAGGUCCGUCGGGAAAUCCACGUGCUUAACGCGUGGGCGUCCGGCGGAAACCAGUUGGCUUGGGGCCGGAAGACCUGAGGGGUACGUCCGGGGUAGGAGUGAAAUCCUGUAAUCCUGGACGGACCACCGGUGGCGAAAGCGCCUCAGGAAGACGGACCCGACGGUGAGGGACGAAAGCUAGGGUCACGAACCGGAUUAGAUACCCGAGUAGUCC